rnacentral:rRNA from 1 species
UACGUAGGGGGGCUAGCGUUGUCCGGAAUCAUUGGGCGUAAAGAGCGUGUAGGCGGCCCCGGUAAGUCCGCUGUGAAAGUCGGGGGCUCAACCCUCGAAUGCCGGUGGAUACUGUCGGGCUAGAGUGCGGAAGAGGCGAGUGGAAUUCCUGGUGUAGCGGUGAAAUGCGCAGAUAUCUGGAGGAACACCGGUGGCGAAGGCGGCAUCCUGGACCGGUAUUGACGCUGAGGCGCGAAAGCCAGGGGAGCAAACGGG